UACGUAGGGUGCAAGCGUUAAUCGGAAUUACUGGGCGUAAAGCGUGCGCAGGCGGUUCGCUAAGACCGAUGUGAAAUCCCCGGGCUUAACCUGGGAACUGCAUUGGUGACUGGCGGGCUAGAGUAUGGCAGAGGGGGGUAGAAUUCCACGUGUAGCAGUGAAAUGCGUAGAGAUGUGGAGGAAUACCGAUGGCGAAGGCAGCCCCCUGGGCCAAUACUGACGCCUCAUGCACGAAAGCGUGGGAGCAAACAGG
rnacentral:rRNA from 1 species